CCAGAUAAACGACUUAUCGCUUUAAUUUUUUAAAGAGGAAAGUCCGGGCUCCGCAAGGACACAGUGCCAGAUAACACCUGGCGGGGGAAACCCUAGGGAUAGUGCCACAGAAAAUAAACCGCCAUAACAUGGCAAGGGUGAAAAGGUGUGGUAAGAGCACACCGGUUCUAUUGGUAACAAUGAACGCUGGAAA
rnacentral:RNase_P_RNA from 1 species